AUUGAACGCUGGCGGCAGGCCUAACACAUGCAAGUCGAGCGAGCGGCGGAAGGGAGAGUAAUGUAUGGGGACUGCCCGUUAGAGGGGGAUAACAACUGGAAACGGGAGCUAAUACCGCAUAAUAUCGGAGAGCCCAAAGGGGGUUAGCUAGUGGGGGAGGUAAUGUCUCACCAAGGCGACGAUCCCUAGCUGGUCUGAGAGGAUGAUCAGCCACACUGGGACUGAGACACGGCCCAGACUCCUACGGAGGCAGCAGUGGUGAAUAUUGCACAAUGGGCGCAAGCCUGAUGCAGCCAUGCCGCGUGUAUGAAGAAGGCCCUAGGUUUGUAAAGUACUUUCAGUCGUGAGGCGUUACCUACAGAAGAAGCACCGGCUAACUCCGUGCCAGCAGCCGCGGUAAUAC
rnacentral:rRNA from 1 species